UUGGGGUAUGGCUCAGUUGUUAAAUGCCCUUGGGUUCAAUUCUCAGUACAAAAAAAAAAAAAUGUUUUUAAAGCAGGAGUUGGUUUCACAACUUUGGAGCUUGACCUGAGGAAAAUGCUCACUGGAAAAUAUGAUAGUGUGAAGAAAGUGGGGAGGAAGAGCAUUUCUGAGGAGCUUUCUCUGAGAAAACUGCAUUGAAAGUCUCCUUUUCCUCUGAGGGAGGAAGGCAGGGGACAUGCCUGCCCUCAUUCACUCAGAGUAAGGGAGAAGUUCAAAGGCUGCUCAAAGAGCUUCCUGUGGGUCUGUGGCCAGAGUACAAUGGGCACCGGAAAUCCCAAAGCCCCAGAGGUGUGUUGGAGAGCUGGUUUGGCAGCUGAGCAGAGGUGAAUCGCUGCUGUGAAUGGAAAGCAGCUGCCAUCCCUGGUCAUCAGUCCAGAGAGGCAAAAAUCCCAGGAAACAGAUGUAGAAAUAUAGGUCAGAAGUCAUUUGAUGUCUUGGCAAAGAAACUGGCCUGGAUGAGGCAGUGGUACUCCAGCAGAAAAUAUCUCAAUGGAAUAGACCAUCUGAGAACCAAGGGCCAAGGCAAGUGCGGGUGAUCUGAAGGCCAAAGAGAGGCAAAAGCUAGUGUGGUACUAGGAGGGGACAGCAGGGACUCAUCAAAUGUAGCUACUUAACGGAGCCCGAGAGACAAAGCUCAAACGUCUUUGAAGGCGAGAGGGCUUGGAGUCAAUAUAAUAAUACAAGCUCACCCAGGAGGUGUCCCUGCCCACUGCUCUGACCCUGGCUGCCUAGUGCUACAUCCAGGGGAGAUUAGAAAGCACAGCUCAUGAGUGAAGCCACUGAAGUAGAAGAACAAGUCUGGACAAAGAAGAAAAGGGUUGUUCUCUUCAGGUAGCAAGUGGGUCUUCAAUCGGCCUAGUUGAUGGGCAGGAGAAAAUUGAACUCUAAAUCGAGUUCAGAAUUUUCACUGUUGCUAGCAAGGGGCAUCUUUUAAUGGAGACAGCUUUGUCUCUAAAGUGAAUCUGGAACCAUCUACUAUUAAAAAGUAAGUGCAGCUGUGCACAGUGGCGCAUGCCUGUAAUUCUACAGACUCAGGAGGCUGAGGCAGGAGGAUUGUGAGUUCAAAGCCAAUCUCAGCAAU
rnacentral:lncRNA from 1 species